ACCUGGACAAUGCAAUUGGAAUGCUUACUUGAGAAUCAAGAAAACACUGUUCGUGAGUGCUCACGUUUGGAUAUCAAUCUGGAUGAGCGCGAAAGGUUGUGGCAAGCAUGCUGGGAUAGCUAUAAUGAUUUUAUUAACACUUGGCAGGGGUUUAUACAAUUAUUUAAUUAAAAAAACUGAGUUUGUCAGGCAAAAUCCAUCAACUUUUUUGCAGCAUUAAUGAAAAAUUGAAAAAAUUUAAAAUUUUUUAAAGCAACUAAAAAUGAAUAGAUCCUCCAGUUACUGGGCGAUUCAACUGCAAUGUAUACGCGAGAAUCAAGAAAAUACUCUGCGUGAGUGCUCACGUGAAGAUAUCAGCGAGGAGGACCGCGACAGCUUAUGUGAGAUAUGCUGGAAGAGCUUUCGUGAUUUUUUUUACGCUUGGCACGGCUAUAUUUUUAAUGAUUAAACGUACAUUGUCAAGGUCAUGUGUUAGGCCAUGGACCCUCUGCGCAAAAAUGCCACCCCACUCAGCCGAC